UGACUAGGAUGUUGGGUGAUUUAAAACAGC
rnacentral:piRNA from 1 species